rnacentral:misc_RNA from 1 species
UUAAACGUUAAAAAAAAAAAAAAAGUCCUCGUAAGUUAUACGCAGAAAAUGAGGCUAGGCAAAAUCUGCCCGCAUUUCCAUUAGAAAGAAGCUGAAUUCCUUCAAGGUAGAGUUUGAUAUUCCAAAAGAGAAGCGGGCAGAUUCUCUAUAUAUUCUAACAGAAUUUCCCAAUGGAAUAGAAACAAAGCAAAGAUGCUUCCUUUUAAAAGUCGAAAAGGAAAGCACUGUCAUGCAUAGGAGGUGCCCUUUGCCCCACCCUUGCCCGAAUGUCUGACUAUCUAUGAUUGGAUCUUGAUCUUGUCGUCGUCGAAUUAUUACAAUAAAUUAAUGAAAUUGGUAGGGACGACCGGACGAGGGAGACCUUCCUCACUCGGCCUGUGGAUUUUGUC